UCUAAAUACCUGUGAAAGCACCAAUUGCUGUGGUGCAAACUGAGAAAAUUUAGUCCUGAUUUUUGUGUGGCUCCCAGGAUGAGCGAUGCCCUUCCUCCCCUGACACCCAGGGUGUCAUGUUAAUGAGAGGUGAAACCUGUACUCCAAAAGCUUGGGGUCCUUCUGCUGAUUUUUGGGGUGGUUUGCAUCAGCUGGGAUAGCACAGGAGCUGUUAAAACUUCAGGGAUGACAGGAAGGGUGGAAACAUUUUUAAUGGAGCUCUGUCCAUCUGUAAUCACCCUAUUAAUGAUUAAUCACUGUUUUAAAGCUCAGUACUUCCAGUAACUGCUUUGUACCCGUGGUCAGCUCAGGAUUUCAUAGAUGUGGCCUGAAGAACUGGGCUUCAGAGCUCCUCUGGGAGAUCUCAGAGCCACUUCCCUGCCUCUGCAGGCAAAGUCCCUGUCACAUCCCAUUCCUGGUUUUCAUUCUCACAUGUUUUAGUCUCAGCAGUGUCUUUCACCCACUGAUUUGAGCUUCUUGGGAGUCGCAGGCCCCACUCUUAUUUCCCUUCCAGCUGAAGCCAGAGAAUUUCCAUAUGUUGGCUUCAAAUUCCCAGUUACAAAUUCCCCUUUGCACUCCUUUUCCUGGUGAUGCUGGUGAAAUAAACUUUUAGCAGGGAAAUUAGACAGGGCUGUGAAAGGAAAUGUUGGUGUUUGCUGCUGAACAAUGUGGAAGUUAAGGAAGAGGCCACUGAUGAGGCUCCAGCAAUGGGGCAAAGCAGCAGGAGCCCCCUCUGGGGCAUCUCUGCACGUCCUGAGCUCACAGAGAGUCUGGUAAACAGGAGUUGCCACGAGGAUAUUUAAAAGUAAUUUCAUAUGUAUUACCCACGGCUGUAAUCUUGGGAGGUAGAUGGGUCAACAGUGAGACUGAAAUGGAGCAGUAAUUUACGGCACUAAUUAGGGUUUUAUUGGCUGUUGUUCGCUGCAGUAGCAGCAGAUAAACCACAUCCCCAUCUCUGCUCAUUACCCUCCCUGCUGAACAGAUGCCACUUUUAGUGGCUGGACCCUAAAACUUUAUUCCCCCUAAAUUCUGCAGGAACAUUCCACCAGUGCAUCACUCCAGGCACCGGGUGGUUAAAAUUCCAUCUGUGGAACUGUGCUCAGGACUUCUGGCUUGACAACCCAACCCCUCAGCAACCCACCAGCAAACAGGAAAAUGGGGGGAAAUUUGUAUGAAACGAGCGAAAUUUCCACCUGCACUGAGAACCCUGAGGGUGUGAGAGGGAGGAAGAGCUUUAUUUUUUGUGCAGACCAUGGCUUUGGGAGAUAAGGGGCAAUCUGAACAGGCAACAGAGUUGAGUGAGGUGCUCCCACUUUAAAGCAAAAGCAGCCUCAGCAGGUAUGAAUCUUUUAAUUUCAGCUGUUAAUAUUCCAGAAAAUCCUGUAGGAAUUAGGAAAAAAAAUCCCUCUUAAUCCACACCUGAUGUCUGAGAAAUACAGAUGGGGAGGGGCAAUGAUCUCCUGGGGUGCCCAGAUCCUGUGGGAAGCUUUCAGGCUCCUUUACUGCCAAGCCCUCAGUGCUCAGGAGCAAACCUUCCACUGCCUGGGAGUUAGAAUUUAUUCUCAUAUUUGUUCAGCAGAAAUAGGCCUCACCUUUAAUUGUUUCUUCAUGUGCAUCUAUAGGAUCAAAGCCAAAUAUUUCACAGUAUCAGAAUCAUUUCAAGCCCCUCCACCCCCUUCACAGGGAGCCAGGAAAUAAUGGAAGGUACAAGAACCAACUUUCAUUCCUUAAUUUAUUCAGAUUAGUUUAAGAAACAAAUUGCUUUCCGUUAAGUUCGAAAAUUUCUCAAUAAACAUUAUCCAUAUAAAAAUACAAACAAUAAUAAUAAAAUCAAGACAUUAGGUGGCCUUUACAAUCUUGCCCUAGAGCAGAAUCAGCUGUCUGAUUAAACAAACAAGAACAAAAAACACCCACUCUGCCAUUCCAGAAA